AGACACUAAGGGACACUGGGAGACAUUAUGGCAGACACUGAGACACUAAGGGACACUGGGAGACAUUAUGGCAGACACUGAGACACUAAGGGACAUUGGGAAACAUUAUGGCAGACACUGAGACACUAAGGGACACUGGGAGACAUUAUGGCAGACACUGAGACACUAAGGGACACUGGGAGACAUUAUGGCAGACACUGAGACACUAAGGGACACUGGGAGACAUUAUGGCAGACACUGAGACACUAAGGGACACUGGGA